rnacentral:rRNA from 1 species
UACGUAGGGGGCUAGCGUUGUCCGGAAUCAUUGGGCGUAAAGCGCGUGUAGGCGGCCCGGUAAGUCCGCUGUGAAAGUCGGGGGCUCAACCCUCGGAAGCCGGUGGAUACUGUCGGGCUCGAGUACGGAAGAGGUGAGUGGAAUUCCUGGUGUAGCGGUGAAAUGCGUAGAUAUCAGGAGGAACACCUGUGGCGAAAGCGGCUCACUGGACCACAACUGACGCUGAGGCGCGAAAGCUAGGGGAGCAAACAGG